GCAGUCGAACGGUCUCUUCGGAGAUAGUGGCGGACGGGUGAGUAACGCGUGAGAACAUGCCUUUAGAUUGGGGACAACAGUUGGAAACGACUGCUAAUACCGAAUGUGCCUUAGGGUGAAAGAUUUAUUGUCUAGAGAUUGGCUCGCGUCAGAUUAGCUAGUUGGAGUGGUAACGGCACACCAAGGCGACGAUCUGUACUUGGUCUGAGAGGAUGACCAGGCACACUGGAACUGAGACACGGUCCAGACUCCUACGGGAGGCAGCAGUGGGGAAUUUUCCGCAAUGGGCGAAAGCCUGACGGAGCAAUACCGCGUGAGGGAGGACGGCUUUUGGGUUGUAAACCUCUUUUAUCAGGGAAGAAUCGAUGACGGUACCUGAUGAAUCAGCAUCGGCUAACUCCGUGCCAGCAGCCGCGGUAAUACGGAGGAUGCAAGCGUUAUCCGGAAUUAUUGGGCGUAAAGCGUCCGUAGGUGGUUUAUCAAGUCUGCUGUCAAAGCGUGCGGCUUAACCGCAUAAGGGCAGUGGAAACUGAUGAACUAGAGUGCGAUAGGGGUAACAGGAAUUCCCAGUGUAGCGGUGAAAUGCGUAGAUAUUGGGAAGAACACCAGCGGCGAAAGCGUGUUA
rnacentral:rRNA from 1 species